ensembl:lncRNA
CUAUGUAACAUCUUAGUUACACAGUGAACCGGCUACUAUGUAACAUGUUAGUUACACGGUGAACCGGUUACUAUGUAACAUGUUAGUUACACGGUGAACCGGCUACUAUGUAACAUCUUAGUUACACAGUGAACCGGCUACUAUGUAACAUGUUAGUUACACGGUGAACCGGUUACUAUGUAACAUCUUAGUUACACAGUGAACAGGCUACUAUGUAACAUGUUAGUUACACGGUGAACAGGCUACUAUGUAACAUCUUAGUUACACGGUGAACAGGCUACUAUGUAACAUCUUAGUUACACAGUGAACAGGCUACUAUGUAACAUCUUAGUUACACAGUGAACA